GGUCUACUGAAACCUCAAAGGCAGGCACACGAUCAUUCCAAAAUCGACCCUAUAGUGAGUGAGUUCAAACAAUAGAAAAUAUUCCAAAUCUAAAAUUCAAUUGUGCGGUGUGAUAGUUAAAUUGCAACGUGGCACAGUGAGUGCAUUUGCAAAGAUAAAAUAUAAGCCAGCUAAAAAGUGAGCUUUAAUAGUACAGGCCAAAACCUUCGAACGAAGGUUUUUAUUACGGGCAGGUCCAAAUCGGAAGUGGCCACGAGAAAAGACGGCACUCCCGUCGAACAAGCCGCCGCCUCGUGGGCGUUGGUCCCAAGCUCCAUUUUGGACCACGCUCCCCAUUCCACCCCAUUGUUGGGGGAACAAUACCGGUGCGUCGCCACAUGCUUCGUAGGGGUCCCAGCAAACACCCUGAGUAAGUGAAGCCUAUCAUUCGCACAUUUCUCGAAUCGCCUGCAAUUUUCCGCUAGACGUGACUGGCCCUACGCGAUCCUUCACCGGCGCCGUCGCGCUAGCCCCGCUGCAAUCAGGUGUGCAGUGAGACGUGUGAAGACCAGCGUUCAUCCGAUCUCGUGGUUCCGCUGACCACAGCCAGUCCGUUCACAGUCGAACGGCUUACAGUGACUCCACUGUAGCGGGUACCAACCGCUAGCCAUUGUUCGGCCAGCUGGACCGAAUUAAAGUCGCCAUCUUCAUCAACAUCCUCAAGCCUCCGCCAGCGUCACUAGCGUCACCAGCGUCACCGACAUUGCCUGACACCUGCAGCAACAGCAUCGAGCAACCUAGUUGCGAUUGAAGGUUAGACAAAAUAGUUAAUAAGUAAACCAUUGUAUGCACACUACUAACACCCUAAUGAACACAACAAGUCGAAUACAAAAUCCCGAUGAAUACCGUACAAACUGUAGUGAUUUGGUAAAGUCAGUUCCGUUAAAUUGAGAGUCUUUUGAGUUUGGUUCCGCGAUCGAUAGACCCGCCCUGGGUAAGUUAGUCGGGCACAUUUUAAAACGUGCACUGUCGCAUCACGCUGCAAAGCGUGUUGGCGCUUAAGCGACAGUGUUUCUCAAAUCCCUUAGGGUAUUGGUUCACUCUGUCCGUAACAGAAGAGCAGUCUAGUUCGAAUUGAGUUCCGUUUGAGUUGGUCGUUGAGAACUGCUCCUCUUCUGUUACCGA